AACCAUUCUCACCUGCGGCUAGACCUGCGGAGGGAUCAUUACCGAGUUUACAACUCCCAAACCCCUGUGAACAUACCAAUUGUUGCCUCGGCGGAUCAGCCCGCUCCCGGUAAAACGGGGCGGCCCGCCAGAGGACUCCUAAACUCUGUUUCUAUAUGUAACUUCUGAGUAAAACCAUAAAUAAAUCAAAACUUUCAGCAAUGGAUCU
rnacentral:misc_RNA from 1 species